rnacentral:rRNA from 1 species
GAUGAACGCUGGCGGCGUGCCUAAUACAUGCAAGUCGAGCGAAUGGAUUAAGAGCUUGCUCUUAUGAAGUUAGCGGCGGACGGGUGAGUAACACGUGGGUAACCUGCCCAUAAGACUGGGAUAACUCCGGGAAACCGGGGCUAAUACCGGAUAACAUUUUGAACCGCAUGGUUCGAAAUUGAAAGGCGGCUUCGGCUGUCACUUAUGGAUGGACCCGCGUCGCAUUAGCUAGUUGGUGAGGUAACGGCUCACCAAGGCAACGAUGCGUAGCCGAGCUGGGAGGGGGAUCGGCCACACUGGGACUGAGACACGGUCCAGACUCCUACGGGAGGCAGCAGUAGGGAAUCUUCCGCAAUGGACGAAAGUCUGACGGAGCAACGCCGCGUGAGUGAUGAAGGCUUUCGGGUCGUAAAACUCUGUUGUUAGGGAAGAACAAGUGCUAGUUGAAUAAGCUGGCACCUUGACGGUACCUAACCAGAAAGCCACGGCUAACUACGUGCCAGCCGCCGCGGUAA